rnacentral:rRNA from 1 species
GACAGAGGUCCCAAGCGUUAGGCGGAAUCACUGGGCUUAAAGCGUGUGUAGGCGGAUCCGUAAGUACCUUGUGAAAUCCCACGGCUCAACCGUGGAACUGCCUUAGAUACUGACGGCCUCGAGGGAGAUAGGGGCGAGCGGAACUGUGAGUGGAGCGGUGAAAUGCGUUGAUAUUCACAGGAACUCCGGUGGCGAAGGCGGCUCGCUGGAUCUUUUCUGACGCUGAGGCGCGAAAGCUAGGGGGAGCAAACGGGG